rnacentral:sRNA from 1 species
GAAGGCAAUCAUCGCUUUAUAUUAUUUUUUAAGGAGGAAGAAUGAAAAUUUUACCGUUUAUAGCAAGAGGAACAAGUUAUUACUUGAAGAUGUCAGUUAAAAAGCUUGUUCCUUU